AACGAACGCUGGCGGCAGGCUUAACACAUGCAAGUCGAGCGCAUCCUUCGGGGUGAGCGGCGGACGGGUGAGUAACGCGUGGGAACGUGCCCUCUUCUACGGAAUAGCCUCGGGAAACUGAGAGUAAUGCCGUAUACGCCCGCAAGGGGAAAGAUUUAUCGGAGGAGGAUCGGCCCGCGUUGGAUUAGGUAGUUGGUGGGGUAACGGCCUACCAAGCCGACGAUCCAUAGCUGGUUUGAGAGGAUGAUCAGCCACACUGGGACUGAGACACGGCCCAGACUCCUACGGGAGGCAGCAGUGGUGAAUCUUGGACAAUGGGGGCAACCCUGAUCCAGCCAUGCCGCGUGAUCGAUGAAGGCCUUAGGGUUGUAAAGAUCUUUCAGCUGGGAAGAUAAUGACGGUACCAGCAGAAGAAGCCCCGGCUAACUCCGUG
rnacentral:rRNA from 1 species